rnacentral:rRNA from 1 species
UAUUGUAGCCACAGCCAAAAAGCCUGAUCUCAUCUGAUCUCAGAAGCCAAGCAGGGCUGGGCCUGGUCCGUACUGGGAUGGGAGACUCCUGGGACUGUCGGGUGCCACAAUGG